GACGAACGCUGGCGGCGUGCUUAACACAUGCAAGUCGAACGCUGAAGCUUGGUGCUUGCACUGGGUGGAUGAGUGGCGAACGGGUGAGUAAUACGUGAGUAACCUGCCCUUGACUCUGGGAUAAGCCUGGGAAACUGGGUCUAAUACUGGAUACGACAUGUCACCGCAUGGUGGUGUGUGGAAAGGGUUUUACUGGUUUUAGAUGGGCUCACGGCCUAUCAGCUUGUUGGUGGGGUAAUGGCUCACCAAGGCGACGACGGGUAGCCGGCCUGAGAGGGUGACCGGCCACACUGGGACUGAGACACGGCCCAGACUCCUACGGGAGGCAGCAGUGGGGAAUAUUGCACAAUGGGCGAAAGCCUGAUGCAGCGACGCCGCGUGAGGGAUGACGGCCUUCGGGUUGUAAACCUCUUUCAGCACGGAAGAAGCGAAAGUGACGGUACGUGCAGAAGAAGCGCCGGCUAACUACGUG
rnacentral:rRNA from 1 species